GGGAAACUUGCCUUUCAAAGAUUUCGAUCCGAAGAUCCAAAGAAGGUGCCAGCCCAAAUCCUUCUACUUUUCCUCCGUGUCCUCUCUAUGUUUCGUUUUGUGCUCUCGUUUUCUUCCUUUCUUCGCAACUACACCACGUGUCGAACAUCGAGGCACAAUCACCUGCUCUCUCUUACUCUCCUUAUUCUCUUCCAACUGUAGCUGCUAUCGCCGCAGUCGCAGCCCCUUCUUCCCCUUCUCUUCUUCCUCUCCUUCCCUUCUUCCUUCCUCUUCCUCUUUCUCUGCCACAGCUACAGCUGCCACAGCCGCAGUCGCAGCUACUUCUUUCCCUUCUCCCAUUCCUUCUCCUUCCUUUCUUCUUCUUCUCUUCUUCUCCUUCCUCCCCUUCUUCUCCCCGACGAAUAGCACCUCCUUUCCUCUGUUUCCUCCUGCAGGAAACAGAGGUGCCGCCUCUCCACCCGCUUCUACUUCUUCUCUUCUUCCUCACCAUCUCUUCCUCUCCUUCUCUUCCAGCUGCAGCUUCCACCACCCCAGCCGCAGCUCCUCCUUUCCCUU
rnacentral:lncRNA from 1 species